UACAGGGGGUGCAAACGUUGCUCGGAAUCAUUGGGCGUAAAGCGCACGUAGGCGGUUCGUUAUGUCGGAUGUGAAAGCCCUUGGCUUAACCGAGGAAGUGCAUCCGAAACUGGCGAGCUAGAGUACGAAAGAGGAUCGCGGAAUUCCCGGUGUAGAGGUGAAAUUCCGUAGAUAUCGGGAGGAACACCGGUGGCGAAGGCGGCGAUCUGGGUCGAUACUGACGCUGAGGUGCGAAAGCGUGGGGAGCAAACAGG
rnacentral:rRNA from 1 species